GCUUUCCUCUGUGCAGUUGGACUUACCUCAUAUUCCGUGCUGGUGAUUAGGAUUGUUCAACCUGAAUUGAAAGCACUUGCAAUCGGCUUCCAUUCAAUGAUUAUGCGAUCGCUAGGAGGUAUUCUAGUUCCAAUAUAUUUUGGGGCUCUGAUUGAUACAACGUGUAUGAAGUGGUCCACCAACAGCUGUGGAGCACGAGGGGCUUGUAGGAUAUAUAAUUCCACAUAUUUGGGAAGAGCCUUCUUCGGCUUGAAGUAUCUUCUAGGUAUGAGACACUAUUCUUGGAACUGAGUAUACAGCAGUGAACAAAUAAAACAAAAACCUAUCCUUGUUCUUCUGGAGAUUCCUCUGCAGUGUAACUUCAUGGUUUUUGAGGCAAAGGAAGGCUGGCAGUAAACAAAAUAUAGCAAUGACAUAAUAAGGUGGUUAAUCAUCACUGGACUUGUUUUCAAAAAGCCAACUACUUUAAGAGGAAUAAAGGGUGGACUUGUUGCAGUUGCUGUAGGAUUCUAAAUCCAG
rnacentral:lncRNA from 10 species